GCAGGAUGACGUUGUUGCUGCUGUCAUAGUAGAGCACAGAGGUGGCGCUUAGCUUGGUGGGCGCGCAGCACGCCUUGGGGACUGCAUCUGGUGUCAUCAGGUGCACCUGGCCAGGAAGGGGGCACAGGCAGGGACAUGAGCCCAGUGACCUCCUCCAAGGACCCACCCAUCCCUGCCCCAGCUCCACCUGCGCCCUGCCUUGGCCAUCUCCAGGCCACAUGGGAGCAGCACAAUAAUAAUAACUAUUAACAGGAAUAAGAGCAUCCCUGAGGGCUCCAGGAGUGGGAGCCAUGGUGACCUGCAGUGCCCAGGGAGGGACACAUGGCAGGGGGUGUGGGGCAAGUGGGCAGGGCACUAAUGAGGGGCCUCAAGUCCCAGGCCAAGGGCUCAGACUUCCUCCUGGGGAUAAUGGGAAGGAGACCGCAUGGCCAGGUUUGUGCCUUAGUGAGGUCCCAGAGGGGGAGCCUGGAAGGACCACUUUCUUCUUUUUGUCCUUCAGACACCCAGCGGCUCUGCCUCCCACAUCCUGGCCUCCCUUCCCAGGCUCUGGGAGGCGAGGCUUCGGCCCCUCUCCUGUGCUGCUCCUUCUCCCAGAGGACUGCAUCUGCCCUCAGCACUUCAAGGCCCUGCACGUGCCUGCACCUCUCCACUCCCCGGGCUCAGCUUGGACCUCUCUUCUGAACUCCAGACUUGCGGAUCCUGCUCCCCUCCCCACUUCUGCACUUGGGGUCUAACGGGGCCUCAGCAGAACACAGAAUUCCUCCUGCCCUGACAUCAUAGUCCCCACCUGGGAGGCCUCCUGGAUGACUCCUCUCGCCUUCUCCCUUCCCUGGGAGCAGCCCCUGGCUCAACCUCCACCUCCAUGCUGCCUCGGACCACCUGCCCCGUCCAGCUGCCAUCACCUGCCAGGCAUCGCCUUUGAACAACCUCCUGCGAGAAAAACGUAAGGCUGUGGAAUACCAGGAACUGGGAUUCUAGGUAAAAAGUUAUAGAAGGAAGCCUCGGUGCCAGAAUCCACAAACACACAGAGCACUCCGCGGUGAGCAGCACCAGUGAUCCCAUCAGAAGCCUGCUUUCAUCAUUGAAGGUUGCCCCAGACACCGAAGCAUCAAAAGCCAGGGGAUACAGAGAAAAACAAAUGGCCAAGAGCAAAACUGGGGGAAAAGCCAAAGGUUGAGAGCCAAACCGUCCAGAUGCUCCGUGCCUGCGGUGUGGCACAGGUGUGAGUCUACAUGUAUUAGUGUGGCUGCGUGACGACAAGUUCCAGCAGAGCUGUGGGAAUUUACCCAUGUUACUGACUCCGUGCAGAGAAAGCCCCUUGAGAUGUGGAGCAGGUGGCCUCACUGCCCGCCCAGCCGGCUGGACCAGACCCCUCUCCACAGAGACCCUCACCCCAGGGGGCUGGGCAGGAUGGACAUGGUACUGACCAGGGACUGCAGGAUGGCGUGGUUGGUGGCGUUCAUGCAGGAGCCCAGUGGGAAGGAGCACUCCCCCUCACAGUAAUAGGCCGAGUAGCCUUGGGGGGCGAUGACCCAGUCCUAGAGGACAUGGGAGAAGAAACAAGGAGAGUCAGCAAUUACCAGCCAGCCAAGGUCCUGGAAGCUGACGUAGAGCUCGUGCCGACGGCAGACCUGCCGCCCGUGGGAGCCGUGGACGUCAUCUGCAGGGACAGAAGGGCAAGGUCUUUUCUGGGGUUCCUGCUCUGUGCAGCUACUAUGGGGUACCAGGGUCGGGGGAUGCCCUGAUUUGUCAUUUGUCAAAUAAACGAAUGACAGGAAA